UUCGGGAUAGCCACCGGAAACGGUGAUUAAUACCGGAUACGACACAUCACUGCAUGGUGCGUGUGUGGAAAGUUUUUUCGGCCAGGGAUGUGCUCGCGGCCUAUCAGCUUGUUGGUGGGGUAAUGGCCUACCAAGGCUUCGACGGGUAGCCGGCCUGAGAGGGUGACCGGCCACACUGGGACUGAGACACGGCCCAGACUCCUACGGGAGGCAGCAGUGGGGAAUAUUGGACAAUGGGCGGAAGCCUGAUCCAGCAACGCCGCGUGAGGGAUGACGGCCUUCGGGUUGUAAACCUCUUUCAGCACAGACGAAGCGCAAGUGACGGUAUGUGCAGAAGAAGGACCGGCCAACUACGUGCCAGCAGCCGCGGUAAUACGUAGGGUCCGAGCGUUGUCCGGAAUUAUUGGGCGUAAAGGGCUCGUAGGCGGUUUGUCGCGUCGGGAGUGAAAACACCGGGCUUAACUCGGUGCUUGCUUUCGAUA
rnacentral:rRNA from 1 species